GAGAGUGGGUAGUCCGCACGAGCGCACCCUAUCCUUAGUUGCCAUCGGGUCAUGCCGGGAACUCUAGGGAGACUGCCUGUGACAAGCAGGAGGAAGGUGGGGAUGACGUCAAGUCCUCAUGGCCCUUACACCCAGGGCUGCACACGUGCUACAAUGGCUGGUACAAACGGUUGCGAUACCGCGAGGUGGAGCCAAUCCGAUAAAACCAGCCUCAGUUGGGAUUGGAGUCUGCAACUCGACUCCAUGAACGUGGAAUUGCUAGUAAUCGCGGAUCAGCAUGCCGCGGUGAAUACGUUCCCGGGUCUUGUACACACCGCCCGUCAAGCUAGGAAAGCCGGAGAUACCUGAAGUCGUGGAUCCAACCCGCAAGGGAGGAUAGCGCCGAGGGUAGGGCUGGCAAUUCGAGCUAAGUCGUAACAAGGUAGCCGUACCGGAAGGUGCGGCUGGAUCACCUCCUUUCU
rnacentral:rRNA from 1 species